UACGAGAGGCCCAAACGUUAUUCGGAAUUACUGGGCUUAAAAGAGUUCGUAGGCGGGCGCAGAAAGUAGGGUGUGAAAGCCCUACGGCUCAACCGAGGAAUUGCGCUCUAAACUACUGGUGCUUGAGGAAGCUAGGAGGGUGAGCAGAACAGAUGGUGGGAGACGGUGAAAUGCGUUGAUAUCAUCUGGAAUACCGGGAGGGCGAAAGGCGGGCUACCCUGGGACCCGGUACUGACGCUGAUGCGCGAAAGCUAGGGGUAGCAAACAGG
rnacentral:rRNA from 1 species